AAACGGGAAAAUAAAUAUAAACGCUAAAAACGAUAAUUUCGCUUUAGCUGCUGCGUAAUUAACGCAGCCCGUCGGUCCGGGGUUCCUGCACCUCGGGUAGCCGGCGUCAUAAGUCAGGGAACCAGCCGGGCAAAGCUUUGAGCCUGGUGGGAUUUAUGAAGCUACCAAAUUGUAAAGCCUGUUCCUGGGCGAUAUAAGGCGGGAAUUUUAAACCAGGAAAUGCACCCGGAGAAGCUCUUGUGGAUGCGGUUUCGGACACGAGUUCGACUCUCGUCGCCUCCACCA
rnacentral:tmRNA from 1 species